GUCAAAGGCUUUGGCAUAUUCAAUAAAGCAGAAGUAGAUGUUUUUCUGAAACUCUCUUGCUUUUUUGAUGAUCCAGCAGAUGUUGGCAAGUUGAUCUCUGGUUCCUCUGCCUUUUCUAAAUCCAACUUAUACAUCUGGAAGUUCACGCUUCACGUGCUGUUGAAACCCGGCUUGGAGAAUUUUGAGAAUUACUUUGCUAGCAUGUGAGAUCAGUGCAACUGCGUGGCAGUUUGAGUAUUCUUUGGUAUUGCCUUUCAUUGGGAUUGGAAUGAAAACUGACCUUUUCCAGUCCUGUGGCCACUGCUGAGUUUUCCAAAUUUGCUGGCAUAUUGAGUGCAGCACUUUCACAGCUUCAUCUUUUAGGAUUUGAACGAGCUCUACUGGAAUUCUAUCACCUUCACUAGCUUUGUUUGUAGUGAUGCUUCCUAAGGCCCAUUUGACUUCACAUUCCAGGAUGUCUGGCUCUAGGAAUUUUUGUUUGCUUCUUGGUUUGUUUUAUUUUCCCAGAGGUCAGGAUUCAAGGUGAGCUUUAUGUUUUCUUUUGGACAACACAAAUGUACACACUCAGUGUGGACUGGUGCAGACCCUCACAUCCUGAUGCUAUAGGGUGGGAUACUCUGAGCUGAGCUGAAGUCACAUCUUGGUUAUUAUCCUUUGAGGACUAUGGCCCUUCCAGGUAAGAAAGGAGGGACCUGGAUAGGACCAGUUUUAACAAUCCAUGACCCUAGGACUAGACAGUAUCUAAUGUCGCUUGCAGUUUAAAUAGUUCAUCGUUUCUGCAUAUGAAUCUUUCAGAUGUGCUGUAUGAGAAAACACCUAUAUUCCAAGAAAUAUUAGCCUUUGUCCUACUGUUCUCUCUGCCUUUCUUUCCUCUAUAACUCUAUGCAUCCUGAGGUUUCCACCUAAGUCAGGCUUUUCCUGACCACCCGUAGUCUCCAGACUGGUUUAAAUGUUUCUGCUGUGAGUUCCUGUCCUCCCUGGAGUCCCCCACUUUAGAGAACUUGUUGCCCCAUAGUAAUUACUCCUUUAACUACCUCUCUUCCAAGACACCCUAUGGGAGUUAAUAGAAUGAAAGCAGUUCUUGUCACUUUCUUUACCAUUGUUUUUCCUGGUCUAUAUAUUGUUCUUGAGCUGAAGGCGUGAAGGGUUUGGUGAUGCAGAUAGUUGCUAUGGCUGCCUUUACCGCUAUUGGCUGGAUACUGAUUAAAUGGGCAUCUCCAACCCUACUUGAAGAAGGCAGCACCUAGUUGAUGACUGUCUUUAUUUGGUGCCUUUUCUAAAAGAUGGGUUUUGGUCAGUGGCUACUCAGACUCAUCAGGCAUCAGAGGUGAGAGUGCUCUUGAAUGAUGUCAAAUUAGCCUGCACCAGGGACUGAGGAUCCUUGGUCUCUCUCCCCAGUGGGACUGGCAUCUCAGGAGGCAAGGUCUUGCUAGCCAUAAAUGUAAUAAGCUUCUCAGAUGAGUCUCAUACACUCUAAAAUUUAAGAACUGAUGUGAAUGCUUCCAGUAAGAGAACUUUCAUAAGCAUUAGUGUACUUUUCUCUCAAAGCAACUUUGUGAGAUAGAAGGUAUUAUUUGGAUUUGAUGAAGAUAAAUGAUGCCAAUCCAAGUCUUUGCUUUUCAUGCCUGACAUAACCAGCUAGUAGUAUUAUUUUAUAAAAUAUUGGUUGACUUCAAUACUCUAUGACAUCUUCAAUACUCUAUGAGUUCUAAGCUCAGUUGAAACUAAUGAUAAGUUUCUGGUCCACUAGUGUUAAUGGAGAUUUGGCAUAUUUAAGAAAGGGUGGUAUAUGUAGUGAUGCUAAUUCAGAUGUUUAGGGGGUGAGAGGUUUUGACAUGAAUCAAUAUGAAAGAGACUACAUUUUCACCCUGUAUUAUAGUCUUUGAGCUUGCUUUUUUUAGAUUUUGAUUUUUAUUGUUGAAAGAACACCAAGAAUAAGUUCAACUGUCUUCACACAUUAUCAACUAUAUAAUAAAUUAUUGAUAACUAUGGGUACAAUGUAUGCAGCAAAUUACUAGAGCUUAUUCAUCUUGCUUAACUUAAAUAUUAUGUUUAGACUCACUUUUAAUGGACUUGUUCAUUUACUCAUUAAUGUUGUAUUUGGGAAUACUUACUAUCUACAGGACACUGUGGUAGGUAUUAGAUUAGUAGCAGAGAACAACAUAAAUUCCAGCUUUUUGCUCAUGGAGCUUACAGUGUACUAGGAGAAACAGACAUUACAUAAUAAUUGGUUACUUUCAAAGAUUACUCUAGCCACUCUGUGAAGAAUAAGUUGGAUAGGCCAAGACUAGAAUUAAGAAACCCAAUUUUCAUGAACAUUUAAAGGUCUAAGUUGUGGACCAGAUGAGGCAGCUAAAACACAGAGAAAUGGAUGGUUGCCAGCUAUCUCUGUGAUGUUUCCCUCUUCCUCCAUUUCCACUUGGUACAUAUCUUCUAUUGGUUACAGCCAAUCACUCACACAACAACCACCCACUGCCCAACCACCACCACCACCACUGCCGAGAUGAUGCCCACAGCGGUGUUUCCAACAACAGUCAUGACUACACCUGACCUCACAACCACAAGACCACUUCAGAUGAGAGCUGCGCUCUCAGGCAUGGCCUCCACAUGCUUUCUGAGAAGCUCGCUUCCUGAGGAAGACACGACACUGCUGACCCUUGAGCCUUCCAACGAAGGGCCCAUCCUCCCCGCAGAAUCAGAAAGUGUCCUCCCCAGGACCUCUCAGUGAAGCACAGAGGCGAUUUCAGGAGACACUGCCUUGCUCACAUCCAAGGCUCCAACUACAACAACAACCACUACUCCAACAACGACCACCACUACUACUACUCAAAGAAAAACGACCAUGACUACUACACCUCCAAGAGAAACAACCGAGGCUAUUACUCCAACAACGACCGAAACUAAUCAGACAAAAUCUACUGCUUCAACAACCACCAUCACCACACUCCAAUGACAACCACCGCUGUUCCAAAAAUGACCACCACUACUACUCCAGUAACAACUGCCACCACUACUUCAACAAUCACGAUGAUCACCACUGUUCCAAUGACAACGAAGGCUUCUACCUCUGCUCUUCCAAUGGCAACACCCACAGAGGACUUCCAGCCAGGUAAACAGAUGUGCUUCUGAUGCUAGAAGGCUUUAAAGGAGAGGAUAUUGACUAUGCAGAGCACUGUGUUAAGUCAGAUGUACAAUCUAAGGUAAGGAUUCUUAACAGGCUUCCAAAGCUGGCUCUACAGAGUCUGUGAAUCCCCUGUCCCCUGUUAUAUUCACCUUUUAUAUCUAUAAGCAUUUACAGAGUGAAGGAGACCUAAGGCUUUUUAUCAGACUCUCAAGAAAUUCAUUAAUACAAAAAAAAACAAAACAAAACAAAAACCCAGAUCACUGAUCUUGGACAUCUAAGGAGAAUGGCUCAUUUUAACACAGAAUUAUGACGGAAAAAUAAGGAUGCCAGAACAGGGCCUGGUGAAUGAGAUUCUGCCCUUUCAAGGAGCUCAGAAUAGAGAUAAUUUAAUCCAUUCUAAAGCCUAACCCAACACAUGAGGAUAAGAUUUCAGUGAAGUUAAUGCUUACUCUGUUUUCUGUGUCAGGAAACAUGCUAACUGCUUUACAACUAUUAGGCCACUUAAUUUUUAUGACAACCCUACCCAUUGUCAUUGUCCCUGGUGGCUCAGACGGUAAAGCGUCUGCCUGCAAUGUGGGAGACCUGGGUUCGAUUCCUGGGUUGGGAAGAUCCCCUGGAGAAGGAAAGGGCAACCCACUCCAGCAGUCUUGCCUGGAAAAUCCCAUGGACAGAGGAGCCUGAUAGGCUAUGGUCCAUGGGGUCAGGAAGAGUCGGACAUGACUGAGCAACUUCACUUCACUCACCUAUUGUCAGUGUGAUUCAAUCCUACCUUAUAUCCCUGAGGACUGAGGCACAGAGUCUGAGUUCAUUGUUGUUUCUGUUCAUUCAUAUGAAUAGAAAAUGGUUGGGUCUAGAUAGUGGGUCUAGCUAGUUUGGUCUAGCAUUAAUUUGAAUGCUGGCCUUUGCUGCAUUCUAUACUGAACAUAGAGUUUAUGUUUGGAUGAGUUUGUUCUGAUCUGACAUCCUCACUGGAAAAGCUUUCAUACAAUUACCCUGCUUUUUCGGGGUGUCAGUGACUUACACAUUUUGCUUCUAACCUCCUUUGUUCAUGUAUCAGAGGAAUGUCAUUUAUACUGAUGACAAAGUAAACAUCAGAUUUAAGUAUUAUGCAAUUUAGAAUGCAUACACUUGUUUUUUUAAAUUCAGACUACAGUGUUCAUACUUCAAAUUUCUGUUAGAUCAUAGUUUAGGUUUAAUAUAAAUGGAGAAUAUUUUUGAAUUAUAGAUGUGGAAAUAACUCAUUUUGAGGACAUGUUUGGGUUCAAACUUUCUCUUUUUAGGAUUAAAAAGAUAAUUUUUAUGUGGAGAUUCUCAAAGCCUCCACAACCCUUUGGCACUUUGAAGUGGCUCUAGAACUGAAAAGUAACAGAAAUAUCACAAACUCUUAGCCAAAAUGUCUGUGGGAACACAUUGAUUGAUUUCCCAUCACCCCUGUUGAUCCAUGUGUGUAUUCAGUGAGGAGGGAUCUGAAGGAUUUUCUUCAAGUUGAAUUUGGAAGGAGGUCUUUAGGUUGAAAGUGGGAUUUUUACAGCCAUAAAAGUUUGCAAGAAAAAUACACUAGAGCAUCUGUUGACUUUUUCAAUAUUGAUUUAGCUUAAUAGUUUGUGACUGCUGAGGUGGAUGGAUUAGAGUUCCUGUUUUGAGGGACAUGUGUACGUUAUGGCCUUUGUUUAAAGCAGAAGUUCAGAAGGAAGGUGUUGGUGCAUAUGUUCGUGUGACCUCCUAGAGGCAGUAUUAGUUGAGUCUUAUACAUGUCCUGAUAGUCUCCUAGUGAGUUUGAGUUCAGAGUUGAACUUUACAGUAUGGAAAGGAUGUUAGCACUGGAACAGAUCUAUAGCAGGGGCAUUUGUAUUUACAUUCAUUCCCUCUCUGUGCUCUGUGCCCUUGUCCAUGCUAGUUGCCUAGAAUAUUCCUGAACUGGUUGGAAGUAAAGUCCUAGGAGAACAGGAGAACAGAAAAAAUGCCCACAAAGACCAAAACUACAGAAAGAAGUUAAGAUCAACAGGUCUUCUGCACAGAUAUAAGUUGAAUGAAGACUGUGAUCAUUUGAUUUUGUUUUAUUGUCCUGUUCUUAAUUCCUAAAGAGAGCCAUAUCCUGCUACAAAUUUGAGCAUUAGGCAAAAGCAAAGCCAAAAAAAAAAAAAAAAAAGAAGAAGAAGAAGAAGAGAAAAGAAAUACACCACCAACAAGAAUGACCAAAAAACUCCCAUAAAAACAAAAACAAAAGAUAGCUCAGAACAAGAGAACAGGUAAUGUUGAAAUGUGAAGUCCAUGGUGAGAAAGUGGAAAGAAGACCAAUGAGAGGCAAUGGGGAAAGCCUAGGUUUGAGAACUCUUGUUCAGCCAGCACCGCUGCCUUGCUCUAAAAUUCUGUGAUGCUCUCAGAGGAAGGGAUAUAAAAAUCUUAUUACGAGGCAACUGGUCAACUCUGCAGGUCAGGUGAGAUGUUUGAUAGAAAAUAAAGGAGAGAUAUCAAGCAAAGGAAAAAGGAAACAUAGCCCUGAGAAUUCUGAGUAAACUUUCUGGUGAGAAAUAGAUGAGUCAGAUAACAUAUGAAAUCAGUCUUAUGAAAGGAGUGAUCAGAACACAACUGCAGAAGGAGCCAGGGUACCAGGAACAUUGCUUUGAGGUUUAUUACCAAGACUCAGACAAUGGAUUGUACCAUCUCCUUAAAGUGACUUCAAGAAAUUGAAUAAUCUCAGUAUGUUUUCUGUGCUGGAAAAUGUGUACAUCUCCCUGGAAAGAUGUAGAUGGAUAAUUAGGAACUUGAAUAUGGUCAGGAAAUCAAGAUCGGGGUUCUUGUGAACAAGGUGGGUUAGUGCCAGCCCCAAGGCCAUGCUCCAUAGAAUUGAAAUGUCAUUGGUAUGAUAAAAGUUUGAUAUGAAUAAACACUUAACUGAGUGCCCUAUAUAAGAUGCUCUAUUGAUAGGUUUUAAGAGGAUACUAAGAGUAUAAAAGGAGAAAUGAUUCUGUCUAUUGAUAAGCUCUUCAGAUCAUUAUCUAGGUAAUAUUUAUUCAUGGUAAUGAAACACAUAUAUGGCAGAGUAAUGUCUCAAGGCCAUCCUUUAAUAUUUUUCUAAGAAAGAGUCAAAGGGUAAUUCCUAAUUUUAGUUUUGUUUGCCAUUUUUUUGCUGGAGUUGGAAAUUUUCCUCCACAAAUUGAAUAACAUUCUUCCAUUCUUAUCAUUUCAGUACCUUCUUUAUCUUCUCCAACGCAGGCUGCAGAAACCAAGCCUACCACCCCAUAUGAAACAAAUAAAACUUGCUCACCAUCGUACUCUUGCUCAAAAUGUAACUUUGUUUUCUUUCCUGAAAGCCUGGGAGCUUUCAAAUUUUGAUAAAUAGCACACUGUUAAGAGCACAUAUGCUGUAAUAACACAGGUCUGACUUGAGUACCUACAAAGGCUACUCCAAUUAGCUAUACAACUUGAACAAAUGUCUUACCCUUUUUGAAUCUGUGUUUAUCCUUUGUAAAAUGGAUGGAAUUUUACUGAUGUAGAAUUCUUUCAAGGAUUAAAUUAGAUAAAGAUUGGAACAUAGUCAAAUGGUAGUGAUAUAUAGAGUGGCAACUAUGACUGUCACUUAGCCUGUCCAGAUAUGCACACCUGAGCAACAUAGCUAGCUUGUAAGAUUUGGGAACAUCCACACGUGUAUCUGCAUUUCUCUAAAUUAAAUGAACCAGCCUUUUCUUUAAACUUAUUAGUAGGUUUAGUCCCUUGGACAGAGCCUUUAAAAGCUUAAAUCCAAAUUAACCUGGUCCAGACCAGACUAGUCACUUGUUUAUGUUUUGCCUAAGCUCCAGAAACUACACAGAGCCACAAGACCCUCCCGCUGCCUUGUUAAGCUUUCAUUUCACAUGGACGCUUUGAGAUGGGUUGAGAAAAUGGACAAGAGAACCAAAGAGGCAUGCCCUACUAGGACUGGGCUAUUCUAUCAGAAAAGUCUCCCUGCUCUCCCCAAUUUUGGAAAGUCCAUAUUCUUUUCAGAUGUAAGAUUUGUCUUGCCUUCCCUGUGAUGGUGAAAGGUGAUGCUGAAUCCUGUCAUCUUCCCCAGCUAAUUUGCUGCCUGUGGUGGUAAAUUUGGGGGUGUGGCACAUGCUGAACUCCUUUGCAAUGCAGAGCUGGCUUAUGUGUCCUUGUGCCUGUGAAGCAUUCAAACAAGGUCAGGCUUUUCAAGACUCCUGGUGCAUAUGAGUCAUCAUGUUCAGGAGCUGCCAAUCUGUAGCAGACCCGCAGUAUGGCCUACCUUUUGCCAGUCAUCCCUGGAAGCUGGUUAAUAGAAAAUGGACCAGCAGUAGGAUGCACAAAGGGACCAAUUCAACUGGGAAUCAAUCUCUAAAAUAUGUCAUUAAAACCUGGUCAAGGUAGAGAUUUUCAGAAUGGAACAGACAUUGGAAUAGCUGUGUCCCCACAACUUCUGUGACUGCUGCCUCUUGGCAGUGUCUCUGAGGUUCUCCAGCCAAAUCCUCACAAUGCCCAAGUCAGACUUCAAUGGGUUAAAGCCUCACAAAACAAAGAAUUUUAGUGUGGAAGGAAUUUUGGUCAUCAUAUGGCCUGCCACCCACCUUUGGACAGACAGAUGUACCAGCAAACCGUCAGUUGUUGUGGUUGUUCAUUAGCCACGUCAUGUCUGAUUCUUUGUGGCCCCAUAGUCUGCAACAUGCCAGGCUUCCCUGUCCUUCAGUAUCUCCUGGAGUUUGCUCAAAUUCAUGUUCAUUGAGUUAGUGAUGCCAUCCAACCAUCUCAUCCUUUAUCACCCCCUUUUCCUUUUGCCUUCAGUCUUUACCAGCAUCAGGGUCUUUUCCAGGGAGCUGGCUCUUCACAUCAGAUGGCCAAAGUAUUUGAGCUUCAGUCCUUCCAAUGAAUAGUCAAGAUUGAUUUCCUUUAGGAUUGUCUGGUUUGACCUCCUUGUAAUCCAAGGGACUCUCAAGAGUCUUCUCCAGCACCACAGUUCAAAAGCAUCAAUUCUUAAGUGCUAGUCUUUAUGGUCCAAUUGUCACAUGCAUACAUGACUACUGAAAAAAAACCAGAGCUUUGACUCUACUCACCUUUGUCAGCAAAGAGAUGUUCUGCUUUUUAAUAUGCUGUCUAGGUUGGUCAUAGCUUUUCUUCCAAGGAGCAAAUAUCUUUAAUCUCAUGGCUUCAGUCACCAUCCACAGUGAUUAUGGAGCCCAAGAAAAUAAAAUCUGUCAUUGCUUCCCUUUUUUUCCCCUUCUAUUUGCCAUGAGGUAAUGGAACUGUAUGCCAUGAGCUUAGUUUUCAAGUGUUGAAUCUCCUCCUUCCCCAUUUUCACGAGGCCCUUUAGUUCCUUUUCACUUUCUGGCAUUAGAGUGGUAUCAUCUACAUAUCCGAGGUUGUUGCAUUUCCCCUGGCAAUCUUGAUUCCAACUUGUGAUUCAUCCAGUCUGGCAGUUUACAUGAUUUACUCUGCACACAAGUUAAAUAAGCAGGAUGACAAUAAGUAGCUUUGUCAUACUCCUUCCCCAAUUUUGAACCAGUCAGUUGUUCAAUGUUCAGUUCUAACUGUUGCUUCUUGACCAGCAUACAUAUUUUUCAGGAGACAGAUAAGGUAGUCUAGUACUCCUGUCUCUUUAAGAAUUUUCCACAGUUUGUUGUGAUCUACACAAUCAAAGAAGUCAAGAAGAACAAACCAAUCAAUCCUAAAGGAAAUCAACCCUGAAUAUUCAUUGGAAGGACUGAUGCUAAAGCUGAAGCUCAAUACUUUUGCCACCUAAUGUGAAAAGCUGACUCAUUGGAAAGGACCCUGAUGCUGGGAAAGACUGAGGGCAAGAUGAGAAGGAGACAACAGAGGGUGAGAUGGUUGGAUGACAUCACUGACUUAAUGGACAAGAGUUUGAGCAAACUCUGGGAGAUAGUGAAGGACAGGGAAGCCUGACAUGCUGUAGUCCAUGGGGUCACAAAGAGUCAGAUAUGACUUAGUGACUGAACAAUAACAACAUAAUCAAAGGCUUAGCAUAGUCAAUGAAGCAGAAAUAGAUGUUUUUCUGGAAUUCUUUUGUUUUCUCCAUGAUCUUCCUAAUGUUGGCAAUUUGAUCUCUGGUUCCUCUGCCUUUUCUAAACCUAGCUUGGACAUCUGGAAGUUCUCAGUUCAUGUGCUGCUGAAGCCUAGCUUAAGGAUUUUUAGCAUAACCUGUUAGCAUGUGAAAGGGUUAUCCAAGUCAUUAAGACCUUUUCGUAUCAUUCUUCUUUUGUAUCAUUCAUCAUUCUUGCCAACGCUUUUAAAUCUCUUCUGCUUCUGUCAGGUCCUUACCAUUUCUGUCCUUCAUCAUGCCCAUUCUUGAAUGAAAUGGAGAAAGGGAAGAUAUACACAACUGAAAGGGAAAGAUAUAUCCAACUGAAUGUAGAGUUCCAGAGAAUAGCAAGGAGAGAUAAGAAGGCCUUCUUAAACGAACAAUGCAAAGAAAACUGUCAUACAUUAUCUCAUUUAAUUCUUUCAGGGCAGGUUUAUUUCUUGCCAUUGCCAGACUAAGGAGCCUGUUUAGUUCUGUUUUGGAGACAGACAGUCUUCAGUUCAACUGCCAGUUACUAGCUGUGCACCCAUAGGCAAAAUGUUGCAUUCCUCACUUCAAGGUUGUGAGGAAUGAAAACUAAGAUGUUCGAAAAGUCUAUUGCAUGGUGUCUCUCCCCACAUUGUUCCUAUUGUUAUAUAAUAACAUAAUAGUAAUGGCUGAUAUUUGUUUAACAUGGUGUUAAGCACCUUAUAUGCAUCAUCUAAUAUGACUGCUUUAUGAGAUGGGUGCUAUCAACAGCCUGGAGUUCUAACUCUUACCCUAGCUAGAAACAUAAAUAUACACAUUUAUGUGCAUGCAUACAUAAAUGUGUAUGCAAAAGGACCUCGAUCAAGGUCACAUUUUGAGGGACAUUGUCAACACUGAAGUCAAGCUUUAUCUUACUCAAGUCCAUGCUGCUUUUACAAAAUCGCCCAUUCUAUACCUGAAACACUUACCUAAGGUUAUAAUACAAGUCAUGCACAAAGCCUAGACUGUAGAUAUUGUCUUUGGCUCUCCAAGAAGUACUGUCAGAAUAAUUAAAACGUAAACACAGUAAUGUAAAGUGUAAAACUUUAGAGGGGAUAUGGUGGAUUCAUUUUCACUGCCAUUGCAAAAUGACAUGACAAAAGUUUUGUCAGUAGUUGAGGAUUUUCUAAGACCUUCAGUAUUUUCAUUGGAUGAGAAUGUAACUUGUGUAGUGGUUAUGAACUGAAGCUCUUGCCCCAUUCUAUAGCUGGAAACUUCAACCAUUUCAGGACUACUUCCUCAGGUAUAAAAUAGGAUUAAGAAAAUUGGUAUAAGAAUAUAAAGGUCUUGGUCUAUAACAGAUACUCAGUAAAGAAAGAAUCCUGUGUCUGACCUAUGUGUCAGAUAGGUUGCUUAGGAAGGUCAACAGUAUGUGUUCUGUGUAACAAAAGGCAUAUUUCAAAACACUAUUAAAAUUUGAACAUUCAAAACUUUAAAGCAUAGUAUUAUUUUAUAUCAAGAUUUUAGGUACAUAGCAUCCCUGUGUGUGUGUGUGUACAUGUGUGUCUGUAUGUGUUAGUUGCUCAGUUGUGUCCAGCUCUUUGUGACCCCAUGGACUGUCCCACCAGGCUCCUGUGUCUGUGGAAUUCUCCAGGCAAGAGUACUGGCAUGGGUUGCCAUUCUCUUCUCCCCGGGGAUUAUCCUGACCUGGGAGUUGAGUCCAGGUCUCUUUCAUUACAGGCAGAUUCUUUAUUAUCUGAGCCAUCAGAGAAGCCCAUAGAGUAUCCUUAGAAAUUCUGCAUAUAUCCUCAUGUUACAUUAGCUUUGGAGCUGAUGUAACAUAUUUUCUAAAGCUCAUUUGGAUCAAUAUUUGGGCACACUAACACAUAAUGUAGGAGUUGGAUGCCACCUGUGUGGGAUAUCUUAGUGCAUUUCACUCACAUUUUAAAUGUAAAGCCAAUGUAACAUCUGUUUUGAAAAGGGUGGUUCUGCUGUUUGCUGUGCAGUGGCCUCACUGCAGUUUCAUAGCCGUCAUUAAAAAAACUGGUUACCUACCUUAAGUGGUAAUCUUUAACCUAGUUCUGAGAAUGGGCCACUAUAACUUCUCAAAAAUUGUAGGUAAACAUUCUGUGAACGUAUACUUGUUUCCGUAGAUAGAAAAAACAGGGGUCCAUUUUGGAAGGGUUGGUGAUGAAAAUGGUUAAGAAGCAUGGGUUACAGGUUAAAUUAAAUAACGUUAAUUAUUUGAUUUAAUUUAACAUUAGUUAUUUGAUUUAACUCCUGCAAUGCCUACAGCAUUUGGCCAUAUGAAUAUUCAAGUUUUUAUUCAUUACCAGAAAGCAAUGUGAAUGAAUAUAUUUGGUGUUUGCAAUGAAAAUUCAGUAUUUUUAUAAUUCUAAUAAAUGUUCCUUCUUGUUGAGCAGAUGGGAAUGACACCGUGACAGAGUCUUCAGAUCCCCUUUGGCGUAGCUAUCAAGCUGUAAGCGUACUCUUUCCUACUUUAUUAGCCUGAUUCACUUGUAUGCUUUCUUGGAAGCAAGUUACGCUAGAGAGUAUUGUUAACAGUCUUGUUCACAGUUGAUUAUUUCUAAUCCAUAAAAUAAAGGAAGAAAAGAAUUUGACUCUUAAAUAAGGAUGUUUUAAUUAAUUUAAAAAAUUUAUAUAAAUGCACUAUUUUGUUAGAAAUAUACAAAAAAGUGAUAUUAUACCUCACACAAACACUCUAAAAAUGUCUCCUGGCCAUAAAAUUAGAAAAAAAGAGUGAAUUAAUUCAAGGAUAGUGAAUUAACAUUACAUAUCAAGGAAGACUUCGACCAUCAUUAGAGAAAUAGCAUACCUUGAAUUGACGUGGUGGAAUGGGGGCCAUCCCAACCAAAAAUAUUAUGCAAAUCAAAGUGUGCUUGCUUAAACUUAGGUCCCCUAAUAUCUUUUUCCAACCCAAUUGUCCUCCUAUUGAGAAAUUUUGAGGCUACUGCUGAGUCUUUCUAUAUGUAAUCCUCCCCAUUUGUUGCUGGUGUUCAGUCACUAAGUCUUGUCCGAUUCUUUGCAACACCAUGGAUGGUAACCUGCUGGCUCCUCUGUCCAUGAAAUUUUCCAAGCAAGAAUAUUGGAGUGGGUUGCCAUUUCCUUCUCCGGGGAAUCUUCCACACCCAGAGAUCAAACCCAUGUCUUCUGCUUGGCAGGCAGAUUCUUUACUAAUGAGCCACUUAUGAAGCCCUUAUCCUCCCCAUAUGAUGACUUUUUAAGGUCCUAAGGUCUUGAACAUCUUUGUGAUUCUGUAGGAUGUUCUCAUACAUAGUUUGAGAAAAAAUAUAAGGAGCUAUAUAGUCUCAUGAUGUUCAUUAAAGUCUGAUCUUUGUAAGUUAGAAGAAUUCAAUAGAAUAUUUUCUUUUGGCUCACUUGGUUAAAAAACUUUUCUUUUUUCUAUGUGCAAGUAACUCUUAGAAGCAACAAACAAAAAGAGUUUGGGUAUGAGAGUAAUCCUGAUUGCAAGUGGUGAGAGAUUGCAACAUGGCCAUUGUAAGAGAAAGUCAAGCUCACGAAAAGUGGAGUUAUUUAUUGUGAGAUCAAAUGGCUUUAUGUUGCAUACCUUAGUGACAAUGAUAACACUACCAUACAGGAAUGAUAUGAAAGAUAUUAGCCACUCUCACCAAUCAGCUAUGGGCACUGACUGAUCUGAUGAAUAUGGAUAGAAUUUGUUUAUAUCUAUUAAAUAGCAGAACUGCCACUGUGUAAAUGACUGUAAUAUUGUUAUACAGUUAGAUUUAUGCUGGAUUAAAAAAAAUAUUCUGAAUGGUGGGUUUUGUUUUUUUUUUUACCUUUAGGACAGGUAUGUUUAGCAACAAAUAGAAUCAUUACAAAAGCAAGUCCACAAUAGGCAGUAGCAAAACUGUGGGCUUUUUGUGUCUUGACUCUAAAGAUGUCACAGUGUCUUCCAGGUAUCCUGAAAACCAAGGAGUAUAUAUUUUGUCCUAGUAGUAAAUCAAUUUCCUGAACUCCACUUUAAAGAGAGAAUUGAACAAAUACCUGACAAUAUAUAAGAAAAGAUGUUCUUUGCUGCUAUUUAUAAUCAUAAAAAUGUUUCAAAUAACCUUAACACUCAAUAAUAGGGAUUAAUUAGUCAAUUAAACAUGCCCACUUAUUGCCAUUAACAAUGUUGGCACCACAGUGUAUUUACUGCCAUGAAGAGACAGUAUCAAUUGAUAAGUGAAAAACUAACUUUUAAAAUAAUGUAAGGACUUCCCUGGAAGCCCAGUGGGUAAGACUCCACAAUUCCAAUGCAGGGGUUCACAGGUUCCAUCUCUGGCUGAGGAACUAAGAUCCCAUGGAUUGUGCAGCCAAACACAUAUGUAUAUAUAUUUAAAAUAUGUAUAUAUAUAUAUAUUUAAAAAUAUCAGAACUAAAAAAUAUAUCAGAACUAAAAAAUGUGUCAAACUUACAUAAGAAAAAACAUUUUUUGUUUUAGUAUCAUAAGAAUAGUAUAUAUGGGAAUACCUUAUUCAUUUUUUAAAGUAUUUGUAAUUUACAUAUUAUAAAACAGGCUCAUUUGAAAUGUACAGUUUGAGUUUUGACAAAUGUAUACACCUUUGCAAAUACCAUCACUAGCAAGAUAUACAUUUCCACCAUCCCUAAAUGUAUUUGAAUUUUAAAUUGUCUUAGAAUCUCACCAUAUGAUGAUAACUUCAGAUCAUUUGGUCUCACCCCUCAUGAUAAUAAACUAGCCAAAUGUUAAUAAAUAUAUCUAGGUAGUUUAUUUUAGGAAGUGUAUUCUACCCACAAUUCUAAUAAUAUGGUUUUAUUUUGUUAUUUGUUAUUUUGUUUUUGAUCUGCUGGUGCUUCUUUAGGGGCUGGUACAAGGUCCAUGGAUGAGCACCGACAAGGGAGUCUCCACUGGAAUCUCUGUUGCUGUCUUAGUAGUAUUGCUAAUAUUUGUGGUAUUCUAGAUUAACAAAAGUAAGUCACCUCAAGACUAUGCCCACAGGAGUAUUCUUGAGCCAAACUAUCUGUAGCCCUACAUUCCAUAUGAUUUUGGUUUCUCAUAACUUUCUUUGUUCUUACUUUGUUCUUUUUUAUUUUUAUUUAUCUUAAAAUUAUCUUCCCAGUGAAGAGAAACAUGAUACUUAAGUUCUCCAUGGGAGAAAUUAAAUAUGGAGAAUUAAGCAUUGGUUAGGUAGAGCUGGGAUUUGGAUAUCAACAAACCAGUGUAAUAUACAAGGUUUGUUCACUCCUCCUUUUCCCCUUUCUCCAAUAACCAAUUUUUGUUCCUAUAGGGGAUGAAAUUGCUGAGAGUUUUACAACACCCACUUAACAGAGGAACCAAAUGAGCCAUUGGGAGGAUACAUGAUUUCAGGGCUAAGAGGAGAACAAAGGGUUUCACAAGGCAGCCACCCAGGGCCUCCUGGUGUCCUUCCACCAGUGUGUGUGUGUGUGUGUGUGUGUGUGUGUGUGUGUGUGUGUAAAACCUGUCAUCUAUAGGAGAAACACAAUCUCCCAUUUUUUUACAGUGAAACAUGAUUGUAUUAAAGUAAGCUAGGGCAUGUGAGUGAAUGCAUUAACCCUAAUAAUCAUAAGAUACUUUCCACUAAGGGGUUUAUUUGGCUUCUAGAGAUUCAAGAAAAGUUAUCUGGAGUUAUCAAGGAAGAGCCCAGAUUGAUUUGUUUCCCCUUCAUUUUAAAAAUAUUCUUUCCUCUUAAUUAAUUUUUUCAGUGUCUGAUAUCUGUACCUAUUUUUCUCAUAUUAAGGUAAUAACAGUAAUAAUAUACUUAUUGGGGAAAAAAAUCUCAUGAACUCUUUAGCUUAUAUGUUUAAUUUUCUCUUCAUUUCUUAUCUAGUUUAGAAUAUCUUUGCCUGGGUAACAAGGUGGAGCCACUAUGUGUGAUUCCCUUGAAGGAGUCUCAUAUUGGAGCUUUGAAACAGGCAGCUCUGAAGCCUAUCCAAGCAGAAGAUAAUGCCUACAUUGUUGAUGACUCUCAUUAAGUCGUGGGCCCAGAUUCUAAGGCAUUAUGUAGAAGAUAGUGCCAAGUUAUCACUAUGUCAGAAUCCUUCAAGCAGCAGGACAAAUUUUUGGUCAGUUUCUGAUGACAUUCCACAGAGUCAAGAACAUUGGGUAGAGUGAGUCUAGAUCAUCUGCGCACAAUCAACCUCUGUCACACAGUCCUAAUUUUUUAUAUUAAAACUGAGUCAAUCAUUCUGGCCAUUGCAGAAAUCUAUCCAAAACAUGAAAGGUACACUUUAGAAUUGUACAUUCUCUUUAGACUCUAUGAAUCCUGUUAUCCAUCAAGAAUUCUUACUGGGGAGACAGAAAACACACUUCGACCUUGGUUAAUAAAGCUGUGGAGAGGAGCUGACCGCAACUUAAAAUCAGCAAAUUUAAUUUGGUACUUAAAGGACUUAACAUGGAAGCAUUUCAUGAUUUUUUAAAAAUUGACUCCAAAUGUUAUAUUCCUUAGGACAUCAAGGGUUUCAAAUCAUGGGAGUGUACAGGUUUCUAUAUACCCAUUGGGAAAAUAGAAAUGCAUGUGAUUUUGCCCUUAUAGCCCUGGUUUCUCAGGGCUCUGGAAAUGGAAGGCGUUAAGUGCUUUCCCUGGGACCAGAAUGGUAUUUUAGCAGUUAGAAGAAGGUAGGGUAGUGAGUGGUCCAUGGAGACACCAGGGGAAGAAAAUCCAUUGCCAUGCGAUUUACGCUGUUGCUGCUGCAUUGGUGCUACAGUUCUAGGUGUUCAUGUAGACAAUUGGUAGGCUCUGAUGGAAUUGUUAGAAUGAGACAAGGCAGAAAUAAAUACAAGGAAAGAAAAGAGGGAGGGAGUAACAAAAGAGGCUUUCUGUUUUGGAAAAGCCAGUUUGCAAAUAUAAUAGUCUUUGAUCAUGUUACCACCAAAAGGCUAAAUGGUCCUCAAACCACUUCAAUUCUUAAAAUUACAUUGGAAAGAUAAAGAGUCUUUUCCGUAUAUAAUCAAUUCCUGUGUUAUAUCUUUUUCAUGACUCAAUUAAAUUUUUGUUUUUUCCAGAAGAUUUAGUCAAAGACAAAAAGUAAAGCUGGUUUUAGUCACUUUGAAGUAUUUUUGCAUGAACAGCUAAGAAGGCUGGAAAUUAAUUUCACUCUGCGUAAACCCUGAAAUAACUCAUUCUUGAGUUUUUUGUUUUUGUUUUGGUGGGGGGAAGGGUAGUGGUGUUCAGAGCUGCUCACACCAAAGUGGUCGAUGAGGGCUGGAUGGUUGUUUUUAAAGGCACCAUUUUUUAAUCUUCUGCAGAGCUAUAGAAAAUUAAUAGGACCUCUGAAUAAAGGUUGUGUGGGCAAUGAAGAGGUGGUGCUAGUGGUAAAGAACUUAUCUGCCAAUGCAGAAGUCAUAAGAGAUGUGGGUUCAAUCCCUGGGUUGGGAACAUGCUCUGGAGGAAGGCAUGGCAAUCAACUCCAGUAUUCUUGCCUGGAGAAUCCCAUGGACAGAGGAGCCUGGCGGGCUAGAGUCCAUAGGGUUGUGAAGAGUUAGACAUGACUGAAGUAACUUAACAACAUGUGUGCAUGGGCAAUGAAGAUGGCUAAACAUUGCAUACUAGUUUUCGUAAAUGAA
ensembl:lncRNA